rnacentral:lncRNA from 1 species
CAAAGACCUGCAGCCAUAUCUAUUUAUUAUUUACACAAUCACGUAACCACAAUUCUACUUAGCGGACAUGGCGCCACAACUUUCAUACAAAGAAAAUCCUAGGAAAGGAAAGGGCAGAACAGGACCCAUUUGCCUUUAAUGUUCGCCAAGCUGGGGAGACCGAAGGAGCUCCAUGUUACCGUGCUGGUUACCUGCCACCCUCGUGUUCACUCGCUGGGCGACCCUCGAAGUUCCGUCAACAUGGCAGUUGGUGUAACCGCGACUCGGUUGGCCCAGGCCCCGCUGUACGGCCUGGUGGAUUGGGCCGAGCCGACGACGCCUCAGAAGAACGAACGGGCCUUUGCUCUUUUAAGAGUUGAUGCUCUUUUACGAGCCCGCCCGUUCCUCAGUGUUUGCUCGGACCGUUCUGUCGCUGGCUGGUGACUUCUCUCCGGCUGUCUCCACCGACCCAGAGUUCGGCACGGUACUGCAGACUUGGCUGCGCUCCAGGCUCCGCUGCACUCCGACGACCCUGACUGCCCUCCACUGGACUCGAACCUUGGUGCUCUCCACCCCGACUCCAGCUCGACUCCAGAAAGACUGCUCUCUUGGCGUUCCAGCGCGCCUUUUUAUGGGGUCCGGGGGUGAGUUUGAUCUUCCGCCUUCAACCUUUCACCCCCCGCUGGCUCCGCCCGUUUUGUCAUUUUGAUCCGCUCUCGUUGUGAAACGCGAACGUGCACGGGCGUUGUAGGAAUCAUCCUUAACACGCGGACGUUAUGGAAAUCAUCGGCUCCUGCCCCAAUGAGGGAGUCCCCGCGUCUGUCGCGGAGAUGCUGUUCUUUGGGAUUCGCAGUGGCUGGCGAAAAGAUGACGGCGCAAUGGAGAUGAAGAUUGUCUGAUGGCGAAUGAAAGUGCUGACCCAUAAUCAGCAAGGGACAACUAAAGAUUGAAGAAACAUCCACGACAGCACAAUCCCACAAUGCCUUCAUACACCUUCAGUUGCAUGUGGUUUAUUAUACUUCUCACUUUGAACUGUCACAUGGUUUCUACCAUUCUUCAAAUCCCUGAUGAUGCACAAGGCCAUCAGACAAGCCAAGGACACACCUGUAUAACGACAGCUGCCGGAAUGCUCUGUCCAAUGAGAACACCCCAUGGGAGCUUCACUGUGUCCAAUGGGAUUAUAAUAGUGUGGACAGUGAGCUCGCUGAGUUCAUGUUGUGGGGUCUGUGGUGAGCCUUCGCGGUCUGUAGUGGUGAGUGUGACAGUGAACGUGGCAGUGAACGUGGCAGCGGUGUCUAGCUUUUGGUGUCUGCGCUCGUGUCCUUGGUGCCUGCUGCCAGUCCCCAUCCCUUCAUCUGUGGGGCUGCUGCUGCUGCAGUGCUGGAGAGAGGCCAUGAGCCGAGGUCCAAUGCGAACCGCCGCACACCAAGGUGAGCACCAAGGUGAAAACAACCUCGUGGGACAAGGACCCACACCACAUGCACGGGCAGUGCUGUGCAGAUAGGUUUCUUUGUUUCGUCAGAACCAUGCUGAGUCUCACGUUCCUCCCCCUGAUGAAAAAGAAAAGGCAUCUUUGCUAAGCCAUCGUUGUUUUGGGGUGAGUUGUCUCAUUUAUUUAUUUAAUUGCAUUGCCGCUGCGUGUCUGUGCUUUCGCCCCUUUUCCCCAUUUUCUCUGUUAAUAAUCCCCACUUUUGUUGAAAACCCAUGUGGUCAUUGGAAGUGGGCUCCAUUGCACUUAGCAAAAUUGGCUGAUGAUCCUGUUCGAUGGACAGGUUGAGGUCCUCACUUAAACACCUUGAUGCAGGACAUCUAUAAGCUUUGCUCAACUAUCCCUGUCACUUAUUCCACCACGAUCAUUGCGUUUAGAGAUGCCAAAUCACGCAAAAUUAUCCAAGCAGAUGCGGAGACCUUUUCCUCCCAUACCAGUUUGGCGGCAUGGCUGUCGUCGAAGACCGGAAGGCAACAUAUAUUCCCUCUCUUUUGACACCUGUCUCUCACUCAUAAAUAGCAUUCAUAUCAUGUAUCCAAUGGUAUCUCCCGUUGUCAUUGUAAUCUGCUUCUCGUGUUUAUACGAGAAAUAGUUGAAUACUCAAAAUUUUUCUUUUUUUGUAACUAAGUAAAUUAUGUGAAACUGCGAAGGCCAUAUGACAUUUGUCAUAUGAAUUUCACUGCAGAAAAGGAUUUUUGGUUCUCACCUUCAUCAUCCACUCUUAAAGACCAAAAAAUUGUAAGUACAGUACUUCCUUUGAAAUCCUACCAUGGAGUCCAGCAGUGAAGCACAAUCGCUCAAGGAGCAAUUUUAAGGUAUAAUCCCAAGAUUGAUAAAUGCUUUCAAGGUGACUGUUUCUUUGUUGAUUUUUUAAUAAGUAUACGGAUUGGUUCCCGAUCACAAUCUCAAUCCCCACAAGGAAGCAGGCCUCCCCACAGCCCUCUUUGGCUUGUAAAUGGAUUUUUCACUUGAUGCAUUAUUCUCCGGGAUGGUGAAGCUGCGACAACACAGCGGGCGAUCACUUUUCGUGUUUUGCAAGGUUAAUGCAGUUACAGAGGUGGCCUGGCAUGUGGGGAAGCUUACCCAACACCCAGACGAUGGCUUGCACAGCUUCAGAGUUCACGAAAAAAAAAACACGAGCUGCCGAAUCAGUGCAACCACUCUGGCAUGAAAGCACCACUAUAUUUCUUGUUACUCUGCUAUUCAGCAAAAGUAAUACUUUAGCAUUGGAAAGAUAAUGUAUUUAUUCACCACACUGGCAAAACUGACAUGAAUGCUGGUACAUGAAAUGGAUAAAAUGUUUGGCAUUUUAAUCUGAGGAUAUAUGAAGGGCAUUCAAAAAGUUGUAUUAAUGAGAGACUCAUGAUGGACCUAAAACAUGCCAACACAUUUUUCUCAAUAUACAAGUGGGGUAUAAUUAGUAGGUAUGUGUGUGUGUGUGUGUGUGUGUGUGUGUGUGUG